rnacentral:rRNA from 1 species
UGACGGUACCGUAAGAAUAAGCACCGGCUAACUACGUGCCAGCAGCCGCGGUAAUACGUAGGGUGCAAGCGUUAAUCGGAAUUACUGGGCGUAAAGCGUGCGCAGGCGGUUAUAUAAGACAGAUGUGAAAUCCCCGGGCUCAACCUGGGAACUGCAUUUGUGACUGUAUAGCUAGAGUACGGUAGAGGGGGAUGGAAUUCCGCGUGUAGCAGUGAAAUGCGUAGAUAUGCGGAGGAACACCGAUGGCGAAGGCAAUCCCCUGGACCUGUACUGACGCUCAUGCACGAAAGCGUGGGGAGCAAA